AACAAUUUAAUUUAGUUGUUGAUUUUAUUAAAUUAUUAUUAAUCGGGUUUAAGUGAAUUAGAUGUGUUUUGAACCAAUCUAAAUUAAUUAAUUAAAGUCUAUUAGAAAAAAUUAUGUUAGCUUUGUGCGCAUGCGCGUUAUGUUCCGUUGCCUCGGCGCCAAAGCCCAAAGGAAGGUUUACAGAAUCCAGUCAGAUGGAAGCAAGACGCCAGAGCCGGAUUUCUGUACAUCCAUUUGCACAGUACUGUACAACAAGUUUCCUUUGCUGAGUUCCUUGGUCAGGGGUUUAAACACAUUUUCUGUCCAGUACUGCAGUUGGAAUUUUCCAUCAACAUUUUUAUGUUUUCACAGUACUAGGGUGCAGUAAGAGCACAAACACAGAGUUCAACUUUGAUUCAACUCCGUGAUUCUCUCAAGAGAGCCGAAAAAAAUGUCUGACCUGCCAUAAAAUGAUUCGACUAUCUGCCGACCAAGAGAGGUUAUUCACCUUUUUUUCCUCCUGUACAUUGCAUCAACACAGCACAGCAAAUAUCAAAGUUGAAAUUUAAUUUGAUUCAAAGAAGAGUCGCAUCAGAAUUUGGCUCAAAAUUGCACAAUAGAAAUUCGGCCUUAAGCCUGGUUUGUACUUCUUCGUUGAGUGAUUGGCGUGACCUACUGCGCAUGCCCUGCGUGCAGCUGAGCACUUAUACUUGUGCGCGCUGUUUGUGUUGUUCUACAAUAACACUUACAAAAGCAGUAGGUUUAUAUGUUCCCUCUGUAUGGAGUUUCUUCGCUUGGGUUUUGUUUUUUCUGAACACUACCUUAAUGAACAAG